rnacentral:rRNA from 1 species
GUUUGAUCAUGGCUCAGAACGUACGCUGGCGGCACGCCUAACACAUGCAAGUCGAGCGAGGUAGCAAUACCUAGCGGCAGACGGGUGCGUAACAUGUGGGAAUCUGCCUUUUGGUUCGGAAUAACACGGGGAAACCUGUGCUAAUACCGGAUAAGUCCUUACGGAGAAAGUUUUAAUGCCAAAAGAUGAGCCCGCAUUUGAUUAGUUUGUUGGUGAGGUAAUGGCUCACCAAGACUACAAUCAAUAGCUGAUUUGAGAGGAUGAUCAGCCACACUGGGACUGAGAUACGGCCCAGACUCCUACGGGAGGCAGCAGUGGGGAAUCUUGCACAAUGGGCGAAAGCCUGAUGCAGCGAUGCCGCGUGAGUGAAGAAGGCCCUUGGGUUGUAAAGCUCUUUUGUCGGGAAAGAUAAUGACUGUACCCGAAGAAUAAGGUCCGGCUAACUUCGUGCCAGCAGCCGCGGUAAUACGAAGGGACCUAGCGUAGUUCGGAAUUACUGGGCGUAAAGAGUAUGUAGGCGGCUAGAUAAGUUAAUUGUGAAAGCCCAAAGCUUAACUUUGGAAUUGCAAUUAAAACUAUUUAGCUAGAGUAUGAUAGAGGAAAGCGGAAUACAUAGUGUAGAGGUGAAAUUCGUAGAUAUUAUGUAGAACACCAGUUGCGAAGGCGGCUUUCUGGAUCAUUACUGACGCUGAGAUACGAAAGUAUGGGUAGCGAAGAGGAUUAGAUACCCUGGUAGUCCAUGCCGUAAACGGUGGGCACUAGGUGUGGGUUCCAACUAACGGGAUCCGCGCCGUCGCUAACGCAUUAAGUGCCCCGCCUGGGGAGUACGACCGCAAGGUUAAAACUCAAAUGAAUUGACGGGGACCCGCACAAGUAGUGGAGCAUGUGGUUUAAUUCGAAGAUACGCGCAGAACCUUACCAACACUUGACAUGUUCGUCGCGACUCUAAGAGAUUAGAGUUUUCGGUUCGGCCGGACGAAACACAGGUGCUGCAUGGCUGUCGUCAGCUCGUGUCGUGAGAUGUUGGGUUAAGUCCCGCAACGAGCGCAACCCUCACUUUUAGUUGCCAUCAUUAAGUUGGGCACUCUGAAAGAACUGCCAGUGAUAAGCUGGAGGAAGGUGGGGAUGACGUCAAGUCCUCAUGGCCCUUACGUGUUGGGCUACACACGUCAUACAAUGGCUGGUACAAAGGGUUGCCAACCCGCGAGGGGGAGCUAAUCCCAUAAAACCAGUCGUAGUCCGGAUCGCAGUCUGCAACUCGACUGCGUGAAGUCGGAAUCGCUAGUAAUCGUGGAUCAGAAUGUCACGGUGAAUACGUUCCCGGGUCUUGUACACACCGCCCGUCACACCAUGGGAGCGGGUUCUGCCAGAAGUAGUUAGCCUAACCGUAAGGAGGGCGAUUACCACGGCAGGGUUCGUGACUGGGGUGAAGUCGUAACAAGGUAACCGUA